rnacentral:rRNA from 1 species
AACGAACGCUGGCGGAAUGCUUUACACAUGCAAGUCGAACGGCAGCACGGGUGCUUGCACCUGGUGGCGAGUGGCGAACGGGUGAGUAAUGCACCGGAACGUACCCAGUAAUGGGGGAUAACUAUCCGAAAGGAUAGCUAAUACCGCAUACGCCCUGAGGGGGAAAGCGGGGGAUUCGUAAGAACCUCGCGUUAUUGGAGCGGCCGAUGCCGGAUUAGCUAGUUGGUGGGGUAAAGGCCCACCAAGGCAACGAUCCGUAGCUGGUCUGAGAGGACGACCAGCCACACUGGAACUGAGACACGGUCCAGACUCCUACGGGAGGCAGCAGUGGGGAAUUUUGGACAAUGGGCGAAAGCCUGAUCCAGCCAUUCCGCGUGAGUGAAGAAGGCCUUCGGGUUGUAAAGCUCUUUCGCAAGGAAAGAAAACUUACUUAUUAAUACUAGGUGAGGUUGACGGUACCUUGAUAAGAAGCACCGGCUAACUACGUGCCAGCAGCCGCGGUAAUACGUAGGGUGCGAGCGUUAAUCGGAAUUACUGGGCGUAAAGCGUGCGCAGGCGG